rnacentral:rRNA from 1 species
UCGAGUGGCGAACGGGUGAGUAACACGUGGGUGAUCUGCCCUGCACUUUGGGAUAAGCCUGGGAAACUGGGUCUAAUACCGAAUAGGACUACGCGAUGCAUGUCGUGUGGUGGAAAGCUUUUGCGGUGUGGGAUGGGCCCGCGGCCUAUCAGCUUGUUGGUGAGGUUACGGCUCACCAAGGCGACGACGGGUAGCCGGCCUGAGAGGGUGACCGGCCACACUGGGACUGAGAUACGGCCCAGACUCCUACGGGAGGCAGCAGUGGGGAAUAUUGCACAAUGGGCGCAAGCCUGAUGCAGCGACGCCGCGUGAGGGAUGACGGCCUUCGGGUUGUAAACCUCUUUCGCCAGGGACGAAGCGCAAGUGACGGUACCUGGAGAAGAAGGACCGGCCAACUACGUGCCAGCAGCCGCGGUAAUACGUAGGGUCCGAGCGUUGUCCGGAAUUACUGGGCGUAAAGAGCUCGUAGGUGGUUUGUCGCGUUGUUCGUGAAAACUCACAGCUCAACUGUGGGCGUGCGGGCGAUACGGGCAGACUGGAGUACUGCAGGGGAGACUGGAAUUCCUGGUGUAGCGGUGGAAUGCGCAGAUAUCAGGAGGAACACCGGUGGCGAAGGCGGGUCUCUGGGCAGUAACUGACGCUGAGGAGCGAAAGCGUGGGGAGCGAACAGGAUUAGAUACCCUGGUAGUCCACGCCGUAAACGGUGGGUACUAGGUGUGGGUUUCCUUCC